CCUCUCUCCGGAUCGUACCUGGAAAGUUUCCAGUACUCUACCUGUCUCGACCACGGGAGGGAGAGUCAAGCAGAUGCCUGUCCAUUCCAUUCCUAGCUUGGGCAGUGACUAGGGAAUGGAAGGCAAUCUGCUGCAAGU